GGGGAACUGAAACAUCUAAGUACCCCGAGGAAAAGAAAUCAACCGAGAUUCCCCCAGUAGCGGCGAGCGAACGGGGAGGAGCCCAGAGCCUGAAUCAGCAUGUGUGUUAGUGGAAGCGUCUGGAAAGCGCAGAACCACGGCUUUGCGGUGGAUGAAGACUCGCUGCCAGCCAACCUGCGUGUGACCCACAAGUCGCUGUUCGACGGCACCCUGCAGGGUAUUCAUCGUACCGACAAACCGGCGUUCAGCUUCC
rnacentral:rRNA from 1 species